rnacentral:rRNA from 1 species
UACGGAGGGGGUUAGCGUUGUUCGGAAUUACUGGGCGUAAAGCGCGCGUAGGCGGAUUGGAAAGUUGGGGGUGAAGUCCCGGGGCUCAACCUCGGAACUGCCUCCAAAACUGCUAGUCUAGAGUUCGAGAGAGGUGAGUGGAAUUCCGAGUGUAGAGGUGAAAUUCGUAGAUAUUCGGAGGAACACCAGUGGCGAAGGCGGCUCACUGGCUCGAUACUGACGCUGAGGUGCGAAAGUGUGGGGAGCAAACAGG